UACGUAGGGUGCAAGCGUUGUCCGGAAUUAUUGGGCGUAAAGAGCUCGUAGGCGGUUUGUCGCGUCUGCUGUGAAAAUCCCGGGCUUAACCUUGGACCUGCAGUGGGUACGGGCAGACUGGAGUGCGGUAGGGGAGAUCGGAAUUCCUGGUGUAGCGGUGAAAUGCGCAGAUAUCAGGAGGAACACCGGUGGCGAAGGCGGAUCUCUGGGCCGUAGCUGACGCUGAGGCGCGAAAGCCAGGGGAGCAAACGGG
rnacentral:rRNA from 1 species